AGCCAAAUCCCUAGCUUUUCGUUCCCCACGCGCGCUGCCUGGGGCUCCGGUAGUCGUUCCCAUGCCGUCCCACCGCCGCCACGCAUCGCCCUGGGCUAUCGCCGGUCGAUCCCGACGCCAUCCCACCGCCACCCCACCCGCCCUGCCUCUGCAGCCCCGCCCCACACAACCCGCCCUCUGCCGCGCCGCUCCAGCACCGCCCAACGCCGUCCGGCCUCCCCAACGCCGGCCCCACGCCCUCGUGCUACAUCCAGCAAGGCUGCCGCCCCCUCCCUGGCCGGACCUCCCCCAUCUCCACCACGAAGGGGCACGCACAGCGGCGGCGGCGAGUUGGAUCGGGGCAGCGUGCUGCUGGGCAAGGGCAUCGAUACGGCUGACGCACCCUUCAGCGCACCUGCAAGUAAAUGUCAUUUUGCAGAAAGAGCUCAUAGAGAAAGCUGAAAAGCACCCUGAAUUGAAGGAAAAAUAUAUUAAAGAAGGUGAUCCGUUUGCCCAUUUAUGUGGAAUGAAGGAGUCAAGGGGUCAUGUCCGUGUGUUAGGUCUUGGGCCAACACCUCAAGAUUUGGGCACACCGGGUACACGGGGUAAAAUGAGCACAAGAUUUGGGCACACCGGGUACACGGGGUAGAAUGGAAGGACGUCAAGAAGCUGAAAAUCACUUUAACAUGCUGGAGGGGCAUGUGCAACAAAUGCAUGAACAAAUGGACUGAAUGGAAUUGAUGUUAGCUUCAGAAGGAGGCAUAAUCUGGAAACUCCUAGCUCGCAGCACGGUUCCAAUUCUCGACAAUUGUCUGCUAGAACUCAAGAGUUGAAGCUGAGGAACAUAAUGAUGGUGAAGAAGACGAUGAUGAAGAGCCCUUUGUUCAUAGAAGAGUUGUUGCAAAGCCCCCUCCAAGAAGCUCAUCAGCCCAUGAAGAUGAAAGCCUUAAGUGAUACCAAUUGUGCCUUAUGAAUAUGAAGGCUUACGAUCUAUUGCUGAUGCUGUCACAGGUCCAUUGCAUGACCAUCUAGCAAGAUACAAAUUAAACCAGGGGCAUCUUCCUCGUCCCGCCACCAAGAUAUUUUUCCAAUCACUAUUUUUGAGCUAGUAUUUAUUUGUGUUUUGUAUAGGAGAAAUCUUCUCAGUUUCUGAAUACUGAGCUAGUAUUCAUUUUUGAGCUACAAACCAGGGACCGAAAUGAGCUAGUAUUUUUUUGAGCUACAAACCAGGGCUGGUCCAUCUUCUCUUAUUAUCAUGUCUGCCUAGCUCACUGCCACUUCUCUUCAUCUAAAGUUUGUCUGAGAUAAUGUACAAUACAUAGUUUCAGUUUGUCUUAGAUAACCUCCUCUAGUACUGUUUGUUCAUGAAUCUAGUCCUUCAGUUUGUUCAUGAAUAACCUCAUGUUGUACUGUUUGUUCAUGUAUCUGGUCCUCAGUCUGGUCAUGAAUCUGGUCCUUCGGUUUUGCUGAAUAGAGAAUACUCAUCGUCUUAUUUUUGGCUAAUUUCAUAGUUAAAUUACCUUUUGUAACUACAAGUCUUACUCGGCACACACACACACAUUUAUCAGCAUUAUGGCACAUCCAUAGUACAGAACAGAGCAUAAUACACUGCUGUUGCUUUUAAAGUUGCUAUUUCUGAAUCUUGUUUCUAGGCUAACCUAGUAUUUAUAAUCUUUAUUUCUCUUAUGCGUAACCUGAUGGUUUCAUAGGUUCUGGCUCUUAUACCUAUGAAGAUUUGUAUGUACAGUACAUAUGCUUCUCUGAAAGUAAUGGCUUAAUUUAAUUUAUUUUUUGCGAGGUUUAAUUUAAUCUAAUUUGUGGCACUGAAGUACAUAUGUUUUUCUCUGAUGCAUUUCUGAAUAUAAAUAGUCAGGCGCACUAGUCUUUUCCAUCCCAGAGAAAAGUAAGAAAGAAAACUAGUGGUCUUAUAUCUAGAAAAAAACUGUAGUUUUGAAAAUACUUUGAGGUGUUUGUCCAAGUACAUACCAUGGUUUUACAAACUGUAGUAUCCCCAAUGUAUCUAUUGCUGUCACCAGGAAGACAGCAUUCUGUUUUCGGUGUCCAUGUAUCUAUUGCUGCCACCAGGAAGAUAGCAACAUCGCAUUCAGUACCAUUCAAUUUAUGGCCACAACUGAAGACUAAACAAAGAUAGCUGAAAUACUGUACUUCUCACAUGGAUAGAAAACACCAGUAAAGUGUAUCUCUAAUACUUAGCUAUAUGGUACCAGUUCUCUAGAAAAAGAAGUUACAUGACCACAUAACUCUUUCUUGUGUUCAAGAAAUAAAAAUUACGUAGUGUCAAUUAUGUCUUUUAUGUCUCAUAUUCUUUCUAUCUUACAGAUCUCUGAUGGUGGAAAGACAACAUUUGUUUAUGUCAUUGUGGAUAAGAAAACGUUGCUGUCGGGUUGUGUAGGAAAGACAGAGGACUAGGAAGGAACCAUGAUGCUGUCAGUUUGCGUCAACCUAGAUAUAUCUUCUGUGAUGGAGCAAAAACAAUGCAUCUUGUAGCUAUCAUUUUGUAAAGGAUAUCUUGUGUAAUGGAGCACACUUUGAAUCGUUGGACAUGCAUCUAUCAUUUUAUAAACCUAUCGGGUGCUUCGGUCACUCCUACAAAUGUUUCCUCUUAUUUAGUUACCUUUAUUAUGGAAAUUAUUAGUGUUAUUUU